AGAGUUUGAUCCUGGCUCAGAUUGAACGCUGGCGGCAGGCCUAACACAUGCAAGUCGAGCGGAAACGAGUUAUCUGAACCUUCGGGGAACGAUAACGGCGUCGAGCGGCGGACGGGUGAGUAAUGCCUGGGAAAUUGCCCUGAUGUGGGGGAUAACCAUUGGAAACGAUGGCUAAUACCGCAUAAUAGCUUCGGCUCAAAGAGGGGGACCUUCGGGCCUCUCGCGUCAGGAUAUGCCCAGGUGGGAUUAGCUAGUUGGUGAGGUAAUGGCUCACCAAGGCGACGAUCCCUAGCUGGUCUGAGAGGAUGAUCAGCCACACUGGAACUGAGACACGGUCCAGACUCCUACGGGAGGCAGCAGUGGGGAAUAUUGCACAAUGGGCGCAAGCCUGAUGCAGCCAUGCCGCGUGUAUGAAGAAGGCCUUCGGGUUGUAAAGUACUUUCAGCAGUGAGGAAGGUGGUAGUGUUAAUAGCACUAUCAUUUGACGUUAGCUGCAGAAGAAGCACCGGCUAACUCCGUGCCAGCAGCCGCGGUAAUACGGAGGGUGCGAGCGUUAAUCGGAAUUACUGGGCGUAAAGCGCAUGCAGGUGGUUUGUUAAGUCAGAUGUGAAAGCCCGGGGCUCAACCUCGGAAUAGCAUUUGAAACUGGCAGACUAGAGUACUGUAGAGGGGGGUAGAAUUUCACGUGUAGCGGUGAAAUGCGUAGAGAUCUGAAGGAAUACCGGUGGCGAA
rnacentral:rRNA from 1 species